GGCUGGUGUAGAAUCCUACAUGUUUGGGACUCAGUGAUCGAAAAUCAAGAUUCUCUGAUCAUGAGUUCCACACAUUAUGGGUAUCGGGGUCAAAAGUCCCACUGGUUGGGACUUUUCGAUCAGGGUUACAUAUCGAUGAAUUCUGAUGCCUGAUUGCCCAUCGGAUUUGGACUCAGUAUUUAUGAAAGGUUUAAUUAGUAAUUUGAUCACUAAUUAACUCAAUUUGAUUGAGUAAUUAUUUUUGGAUCAAGUCCAAUUGAAUUGGAUUCAGUUGGGUUUGACCCGAUUAGGUUAAGAGUUGACCUAAUCGUCGAGAUGGUUUGGUCCCUGAUUUGAUCAGGGGUUGGACUUAGUCAAUUCCUGAUUUGAUUAGAAUUUUAUUGAGCCUAAUUAAGC
rnacentral:lncRNA from 1 species